UGCGAAAUUGCGAAAUCAACAAUGAAAAUGGCGAAACGAAACUUGUGAAUCGUGCAUUUGCUCUUCAUGGUAGCUGCCAAAAAAUCGAAUCAAACUUAUGGGACACUGGAUUACAGGUUGCUGCCACUACUCCAUGUGCCCGCAAUUGUCUUGCGUGUAUGAUUACACUAACGGCGUCGCCCACCACGGCGGAAGUGUUUUGCGUACACGCGUUUCAGCAUGAAGCCUGCAGGUGGACGUAAAUUGUAGAAGGCAGCUAGUGGGGGAGAAGAUCAUGGUCAUAGGUCAUGUGACUCCUGGAGCUCCCUUGUGGAGUACUUUUCAGAACACACACACAUACAGUUUGCUCACAGAACCAACGAGUAGGAUGUUGCUUGAAUACUGAGAGAAAAUGGCGUAACACAUACAAAUAUCGUGUGACACAUAUGACAAUAAAAACAUUUUUCACAAGGGAUGCAUGAGACACUGUCGCAAUAUUGUGUGCAUGAACCAUUGUGUGUGACACAA